rnacentral:tRNA from 1 species
AGGGAGCUAGCUCAAUUGGUAGAGCAAAAGCGGCGUACACCGCAGGAUGUGUGUUCGAAUCCCACACUCCCUA